rnacentral:rRNA from 1 species
CACGUAGUUAGCCGUGGCUUAUUCUUCGGGUACCGUCAUUUCUUCGUCCCCGACUAAAGAAGUUUACAAUCCGAAAACCUUCAUCCUUCACGCGGCGUUGCUGCAUCAGGGUUUCCCCCAUUGUGCAAUAUUCCCCACUGCUGCCUCCCGUAGGAGUCUGGGCCGUGUCUCAGUCCCAAUGUGGCCGAUCAACCUCUCAGUUCGGCUACCGAUCGUCGCCUUGGUGGUCCGUUACACCACCAACUAGCUAAUCGGACGCGGGCCCAUCUUUCACCGGAUUGCUCCUUUGACAGUAGAUUGAUGUCAAUCCACUGUGUUAUGCGGUAUUAGCACAAGUUUCCCUGUGUUAUCCCCCUGUGAAAGGCAGGUUGCCCACGCGUUACUCACCCGUCCGCCGCUAAGAUAACAUUGCUGUUAUCUCCGCUCGACUUGCAUGUGUUAGGCACGCCGCCAGCGUUCGUCCUGAGCCAGGAUCAAACUCU